CCCUUAGAUGUUCUGGGCCGCACGCGCGCUACACUGUUCGACGCAGCGAGUCUUAACCUUGACCGAAAGGUUUGGGUAAUCUUCAGCAAAGUCGAACGUGAUGGGGAUCGAUCAUUGCAAUUAUUGAUCGUGAACGAGGAAUUCCUAGUAAGUGCAAGUCAUCAGCUUGCGCUGAUUACGUCCCUGCCCUUUGUACACACCGCCCGUCGCUACUACCGAUUGAAUGGUUUAGUGAGGCCUUCGGAUCCGCGACUCGUUUUGUGGAGAAGUUGGACAAACUCAGUCAUUUAGAGGAAGUAAAAGUCGUAACA
rnacentral:rRNA from 1 species